CCAACGGCUCUUUUAAGAGCCACCCACAGCUGUCCGAAAAAGGGCU
rfam:Pelecanus crispus contig81399, whole genome shotgun sequence.